rnacentral:tRNA from 1 species
GGAGGGGUGCCGGAGUGGUUGAACGGAGCUGUCUUGAAAACAGCCCAGGCUGGCAACGGUCUGCGGGGGUUCGAAUCCCUCCCCCUCCGCCA